GAUGAACGCUGGCGGCGUGCUUAACACAUGCAAGUCGAACGGAAAGGCCACAGCUUGCUGUGGUACUCGAGUGGCGAACGGGUGAGUAACACGUGGGUGAUCUGCCCUGUACUUCGGGAUAAGCUUGGGAAACUGGGUCUAAUACCGGAUAGGAAUCACAUGUGGGUGUGUGGUUGGAAAGCUUUUGCGGUAUGGGAUGAGCUCGCGGCCUAUCAGCUUGUUGGUGGGGUAAUGGCCUACCAAGGCGUCGACGGGUAGCCGGCCUGAGAGGGUGUACGGCCACAUUGGGACUGAGAUACGGCCCAGACUCCUACGGGAGGCAGCAGUGGGGAAUAUUGCACAGUGGGCGCGAGCCUGAUGCAGCGACGCCGCGUGGGGGAUGACGGCCUUCGGGUUGUAAACUCCUGUCGUCAGGGACGAAGCGAAAGUGACGGUACCUGGAUAAGAAGCACCGGCUAACUACGUG
rnacentral:rRNA from 1 species